AUGGGCCAAAAGCUUUCCCGGAGGGAAGGUGUGAAAGAGACCAACCAGAGAGAAGUUCCAGGAGCCCAAGAAAUGUCCCGGCGGGGAGCCAGGAGCAGCCAAGAGCUGUACCAAGGCCGGAGUCCCACGGAGGCCGAGCCGGCAGCUGCUGCCCCGGCUGGAGCUGCUGAGGAGGAGGAGGAGCCGGAGUGGGCAGCGGCAGAGAUGGCAGAGGAAGACAGCCUGGAGACCUUGACUCAGGACAGUGAUUGGGAUUCUGAUAGCGAGGAAGAGAGCUCGGUGUCUGCCCCGCACAGCCCCGCCGGGCCCUUGUCUGUCCUGGCAGGGCUGACAGGGGCAGUGCUGGUACAGGAUGACAGCCUGGAGGCCUGGGUUUGGGGAAGUCUCUGGGAAUAUAACAGUGAGAAAGAGCUGUGCCAGAGGACAUUUUUACUUGUCCAAGAGCUGUCCCAGGAGGAGGACGAUGUGAGCUCCAGCUCUGGGGAGAAGCCUGUGGGCCCAGUGAAGGAGGGGGACACCCAGCCUUCUCCCCCAGAGGGGCCCAGCUCUGCCAGCCCCGCGGGCACAGAGGUGGCAGCAGAGGCAGCCCCUGCCCUGCCCAGCGCCUCUCCUGCCCCACAGAGUCCCACGGAGGCCGAGCCGGCAGCUGCUGCCCCGGCUGGAGAUGCUGAGGAAGACCUGUCCCAGGGAGAAGUCAGCAGCUCCCAAGGCCCCUCGGACUGGGAAGAAUACCUCGAGCAAGCGCUGUCCGGAGGAGAUGUCAUCAGCUGCAAAGAAAUUUCGGACUGGGAAGAACACCUUGGCCAAAAUGUGUCCAGAGGGAAUGGCAGCAGACCCUCAGGACUCUCCAGCUGGGACGACGACAGCGACACGGGGCUCAUGCAAGAGAACUGGCCCCAGCACAUCAUCUUGGCCAAGCCCUUGUGCCCCGAGGAUGAUGAGUGGGACAACGUGAGCCUCCUGGAGCUGCCCCCAGAAGACAAGAAAGACCAGAAAAGGAAAGUUUUUGUGGCAGAGGGGCUCCCAGUGCCCGUCCCUCGGGAGGCCUGGGCUGAGUGCCCGGCACAGGAGCCGUGCAGCCAAGGGCCGGCGCCUGCCCCGCACAGCCCCCCCAGCCCCUGGCCUGCCCGGCUGGGAGCCCAGGCCCUCCGCGGGCAGCCGGCUGCCCCCAGGAAACGUCCCUCCCGCUUCAGGCGGGCGCUGCGGGCGCUGCGGGGGCUGUUCCGCUGUCCCUGCCUCAGGCCACGCACCGAGGAGUAAAACGGGCACGGAAAAGGGUGAAGAGGAGGAAGAGAAUGAAGGGGAAGAACAGGAAGAUGAAGAUGACCGCUCCUGCCAGUCCCGCUCCUCUGUGUCGGAGCAGCAGCUCUUCGGCUCGGCUCGAGGGGCUCAGAGAUUGCUGCUGCAGCUCCUCCAAAUCUGGGCAGAGAAAAGCCUUUGGAUGGGCCAGGCAAGCCAAGCAAGCCAAGCAAAACCCAAGCAGGCAGAGCCAUGAAGACCUGGGCAGUGAGGCUUGGAAAAUGCCCACCCAAAGAGCCCAAAGCUCCCCCAUCCCUGCCCCGCACACACCCGGCCCCGGGCUGGAAGGUGCAGCAGCCAUUUCUUGGGCACAAAGCAGAGGCUCCUGGAACAGACUCUCAGCACAAACCCCUCCGGGACAACGGCAAAGAAGACCAAGACAAAGAAGAUGAAGACGAAGACACAGAAAAUGAGGAUGAAGACGACACAGCAGAUGAAGAAGAUGAAGACAGUGAAGAAGAUGAAGAAAAAUAGGAUGAAGAAGAUGAAGACAGCAAAGACGAUGAAGACAGAGAUGAAGACUAAAAAGACAAGACAGAGAACAUUUAUUUAAGAAUAGAUAGAUGAAGUAUAGUAAUAAGAAUUUAGAAAUACUUAGAAGAAGAAUAGGAAUAGGAAUAAGAAUUUCAAAAUAUGUAGAAGAAGAUAUAGAAGAAUAGAAAUAGGAAUAGGAAUAAGAAUUUCAAAAUAUGCAGAAGAAGAAGAAAAAGAAGAAUAGAAAUAGGAAUAGGAAUAAGAAUUUCAAAAUACAUUGAAGUAGUUAAGAAAAAGUAGAGUAGUAAGUAAGAGUAGGAAAAAGAAGAACCGUAAGAAGAAUAUGAAUAGGAAAAUUAAUAGAAAUUUGAAGGAAUAAGUGAAACUAGCAAAUAAUUUAUUUUUGUUAUAUAUUAUAUAUUUCUACUAUGAUGUAUGAAAUAAACACAUGAAUAUACCAUAUGUUUUAAGCAGCUGCGGAGUUAUUUCUGGAGUCCAUACAACUUCUACAACACAAUGUCUGGGGCUGGCAGGGACCUUACAGAUCAUGUAGUUCCAUUUGAUUAUCUCCAGCUCUGUAUCUCUUCUCUCUGACAUGGGUUUCCUUUUCCUUUCUCUCUCCCUUCCUCACUCUUCUUAGGAAGUAAAAUCCAUAUUGUUGAAUAAAACCCCUCUGUUGCCAUCCCAUGGUUUCAUUUGCUACUUAAUUUAGGCAGAGGCCUCUCUCCCUCAUCGCGCUGUGACACAUGACCAGGGACACCUUCCACUAUCCCAGGUGGCUCCAAGUCCCAUGCCCGUUUUUCCCUGUUUUAGGAUGACUUUUAGAGAAUCCCAGGAUCCCAUCUGCAGGGACAGCAGCUCCUGCUCAGCCCUGCAGCAGCUCCGUGUGUGGCAGCAGGGCCGGGCCCUCCCCAGCCCCAAAUGGC
ensembl:lncRNA